rnacentral:rRNA from 1 species
AACUAUAUGAUAAUUUAUAUAGCUAAUUCUGCUCCAUGGUUAACUAAAUAGCCGCAGUACCCUGACUGUGCAAAGGUAGCAUAAUAAGUUGGCUUAUAAUUGAGGUCUAGGAUGAAUGAACCUACGGGGUUCUACUGUCUUUAUGUUAGUAAGAUGAAUUUAGUAAUCAAGUGCAAAUACUUGAUAAUAUUAAAUAGACGAGAAGACCCUAGAAACUUUUAAAUAUGUUUUGCUGGGGCGGCAGAGUUGCACUUAACCAACUUAUCUAACAUGCAGUGUGGCUGUAAGAUCAAGUUACUCUAGGGAUAACAGCAUAAUUAAUUUUUAGUUUGUGACCUCGAUGUUGGACUAGGUUCUAAAAGUUUUAGAAGGACUUAUUAGUUGCUCUGUUCGAGCAGUUUCACCUACAU